rnacentral:lncRNA from 1 species
UUCAGAUCAUCCAAUCCUUGAAACUGACUUUUCAAUAGAAUUCUGAUAUUAACUUGGUUUUUCAAUUGUCCUUACCUUCUAGAAAUAAAACACCCUCAGUACUUAGCAUAAGUAUGCCAAUCCAAUUUCAGCGUGAGUUACAGUUGCACCAUGGCUUGUACAUUGGUCUCUUUAAAAUGUGGCUAACUUCACUUAGUCCUCCAGAACCUGCUAACCCUGGGUGAACCGACAAAACUAAAAGCCUCAGCAGCCAACUGGAGGAACAGACCCUGAUCCUGUUGUCACUGCACACCUCAAUCUGCACAGCCGACCCAUCUCCCUCAAUGACCAAAUCAUUUUGUCUGCACAGAUAAGAGGAACCGGAGACGUCAUUCACAGAUCAAGGCAGGGAAAGGCAAAACUGAGCUAUGGCCAAGAUCAACUCACUACGCUAUCAUUCCUCACCAUGGUGGCAGGAAUAAAGGUGGUCUGCUAUGCUUUAGGACCCCCAGUUCUGAAAGAG